ACAUUCCGUCCACAGCCAGGACAGAGGACGGGGUUCUGUGAGGACACUGAGGGCAUCAGCUCACAGCUGCCAGUGAUCUUCAGAUGCUAACUAGCCCUUCAAAGUUUUUGAAACUCCUUCAGAUAUUUGUUCUGACAGGGAUGUGGAGAACAUGGGACUGGUAAUGGUGGCCAGUUUCUAUCUCUUGGAAGAUCACACUCACCUGGUCCUCCUGUAGGAACCUCUCCACCUGAUCGUAUGCCUUUGUGUACUUGUGCUUAAUAACCAGUUCACACCAUCGAUGGCGAACCUGGGGAAACACAACGGGAAACCUGAGAGCAGACAGUCCUUAGUGUGGCAUGGAGAGAAAAGCUGGGUUACCAGAGACUUCCUAGCUGCCGUGAUGGCUGUGAGCAAGGUGGGAUCCAGGAGAGAGAAGGGGACCACACAGCUCAAGACCAGCCAGCCCUGGCCAUUGAGUCCUGGUUGCAGAAGAGAGUAUGGGGACCGGAUGACUGCUGGAGGAAGAGACGAGACCUUGGGGUGCUCACACCACCUCUGGGAAGUACAUCCAGGGGCACAAUUCUGGGAAUUUCCAAGACCAUUUGUACAGAGGACUCACUUGGACUCACACCAACCCCAGCUAUGUGGCAAUUCUGUCCCAUGUACAAGGUUACUGUGAACCAGAAGCUCCCUCUGAGCCGAAAGACUCUUCACUUGGAAACACCACAGAGGGACCCUGCUCUUCUGAUGUCUACAGUCUUAAAGCACUGCUGCUUAGAAGGCCGCUCCUACUCCUGAAAUGUGCCUCAAAUUCAGGGCUCCGAACCUGACCACCAUCAGGAUCUCUUCUGGAAACAGCUGAUACCUAGCCUAGCUCUCCUCCCAACCCAGGGGACAACAGUGCCAGCAUCCCUCUGCUCUGACCAUAGGGCCUGACACAGUCUUUCUGUUCAAGUCCAGAUGCAGGGUACCACUGGUCCUCUGGCCUUUUUUUGGUUUUGUCCCUGAAGAACAGAGCAGACACGGCUCCUUACUUAAACCAUUGUUUACAGAACAGACUAUGGGGUGUACUGACCUAGGUCAUACAUUGCUAGCCAAGUAUUUCUUCCCCAAACCUACCAUGUCGACGGACAUCCAGGUGGGAGCCCCUGAAACCUUGGGAUGAACCCAGCAUGACAUGCAGGGUGGCCCUGAGUGCUGGUCCCAACCCCCAAGUCCUAUUGCUGUCUCUGCAGUUCCAAUUCCAGUCUCAACAUUCAUUCUGAGGGUUAUUAAAGGGGAGAUCCUGUGUCUCACUGGUCUGUGGGAACAGUACAGGGGCUGGUCCAGUGCUGGGGGGCCAGGCAUGUAGGGUGAUGCCAGUGCAGAGAGAAUGAGUGCAGCCAGCAAGAGCAGAAGGUUCCUGGCUGUAGGCAUGGUCUGCCCUGCUUUAUGCUCCCACCACAGGCCCAGAGUCAUGGGGCUAACCACUCAGGGGCUGGAACCAUAGCCUGAGCCAAAAGCAACCUGUUUCCUUUACAAGCUGAUUAUCUGAGGCAUUUGCUGGACUAACAGCUGCCUAGCAUACACCUAUGCCAGUGUUUUACAUGAAGUUGCAACAAGGAGUCAGCCACUGAUACCCCCCUCCCCCAGUGCUAUGGUUGCAGCUCAACAUGCAACUACUGCAUGUUGGCUCAUUCUUUGUGUUUUUCAAACUUCCAUAUAUAACUAUUAGAAAAACCUGGGAUCUCAGUGUCUACGGACAGAUACAGCAACUUAAAUCCUCACGUCAUGUUUGUAAGUUAGAAAGUCAAUAUCAAAUAGAAUCCUUUAGCUUUGUUGCAGAACCAGUGUUGAGGCAGGCCAACAGGUAGACCAAGCUGGCUGCUGUGUCCCUAGGUGGCAAUGCUGCAGGGUUCUGUGGCGAGCUGGUGAAAGCAAGACAUUAAGCCACUGAUCCCAGUGGCCUCCAAGUGCAGUGUCUGCCUGCAGCCGGCUUCUGAAUGGACAGCGCUGCUGCAAACGGAGAAUGCUUUCAAGGACUUUGAAAUUAUAAUGCACAGUUGGAAGCUAUAAAAUGCUUUGAAGAAUACCACCCAUCCUAUUUAUGACAGGAAGCCCCUUUCUUUCUCAGUCCUUUUGAUUUUGAAAUUUACUACUAAAGGAAAAAAAAAAAUCUGUACAGGGAACAUGAUCUGGGAAGCCCAUUAAACCUCAUUUGG
rnacentral:lncRNA from 1 species